rnacentral:piRNA from 1 species
UCUUAGGAGCCGUCAUCACCGUUGUCUGU